GCUGCCUUGGAAACACCUCCUCUGCUGUCCAGGCACCAGCAUCAAAGCAGAAAACCUACAUGUGAUGUCAAAGCAAUGCAUCUCAGCCUGAGAAAAGGCCCAGAUCACUUGAGAAGCAAAAUGUGCAUCAUCUUCUCCUCAGACCGCAGGCUCUAGUAAAUCCAGAAUUGUCCUUUAACUGCUUCUAGUGCCAAUGUAGAGCUUGCUGUAUUUCAGAGGUGCUCCUGCUCCUCUCCUCCUGCAAAUCGGCUUGUCCAUCGCUUUCUGGAAAUACCCUCUGUGGUCUGUCAGAAGAGAAACCCAAGCUGAGGUCUGGCGUCAGACAGUGCAACCCAGAACAUGGCUAGUGAAUGGAGAAACUUUGCACCGACCUCAAGUCCCUUAAAACUGGCAUACCAUGGAUUUCACUCCCACUGAAAGCUACAAGAAAAAUCACCUUCUCACACAUGUACUGAUCUCCAGAGGCUGAGAACAUCCUUAGAACAGAGAUAGUCCACAGAUUUUAGAAGUAAUCCUUCCCUUUCCGAUGCCUGCAGCCAGAGAGUCUCUUUGGAAUUCUUCCACUGCUUGCCUAUGCAUUGGGGAAAAAGCUACAUCCUCCCCAAAAACCAACCUGAAAAUUACACCUUAUCUGUUCGUGACUUUAGCUUACACCCAAUAGAGGUAGAGCAGAAAAGGGAGUAGGCAGGAAGGGUAACUGAAUGGAAAGAACUAUCCGAACACCUUGUAUAACUUUGAAAUGGUGGCGAGACCUUUAAGUGAGCUCAUGCAGGCAACAAAAAAAGCUGGUCUGGGGCACACAGGCACUCUGCUAUGUGCAAGUGUUUAAAAUACUGUGGACUUAAAAAAAAAAAGAGAAAUAAGCAAUCAAUGAAGCAGGUGUGAUCUUUUCUUUUGGAUGCCGUAUUGGUGAGCAUGAAGGAAUCUUAUCCUCAUGCAAAGACCAUGUGGUUGUCUGAAUGAGCCCUAAUUAAUUCAGCUAUUAAGUUUAAAGACAAUAUCUGACAGGCAGAGCAAACCCAUCGAUUAGAAACAGCAUGUAAGUCUUCCCGUGGAAGAACUAAGUAUAAUGGUGGACAAUAUUGCACUGCACUGAUUGAUGGUAGCUAAAUAUCUGCUCCGGUGUUAUUACAACGAACUGAAGUAUCUGCUAUAAAACAAAGAGCAUGUAAAUCACUGCCCACUUGGGUGAGAGCCCCCUGACUGAUUUGGGCAUUUGCCUGGAGUGGGAGCAGAGGGACAGCAUUCCCAUGUUCUUCCCUGUGAGGGUGCUGAGGCGCUGGCACAGGGUGCCCAGAGAAGCUGUGGCUGCCCCAUCCCUGGCAGUGUUCAAGGCCAGGUUGGACACAGGGGCUUGGAGCAGCCUGCUCUAGGGGAAGUCGUCCCUGCCCAUGACAGGGGUUGGAACUGAGUGAGCUUUAAAGUCUCUUCUAACCCAAACCAUUCCAUAAUUCUAUGACUCCAGUAACUGUGCUGUCUUGCAUUGCAGCGUGACUCUGUGGACACGGGUGAGGGGCGAGCAGCAGCACUGCUUAAACCCCAAACGCCAAAACACAGUGAGACUGCUCAAGUGGUACAGAGUAUGGAAAGAGAAAGGCAGGGUUUAUGAAGAAUAAGAGGAAGCGGCAUGAAGAACAGAGCAGACUCCCUUGGCUGGCAUAGGACUGGGCUCUGCAGAAGAUUAUUUCUCUCUCACAGACAUAAGACACAAUCUAUAUUAUUAUAAAGCACUUUUUACCAAGGGUCAGUUUUUACAUUUUAUAGCCACAUGCAAAAGGCUUCCAGAUUCCACAUGCAUCUGUUGCACUUCAGAUUUCAUACCCGUCUGCUCUGUACUGAGAUUGGGGAAACUCAUGCUUUUCAUUUUAAAGAGGUUGGAUUUGGAUUUGUUGGGGUUUUUUUUAUUGUUAUUCAUUCAUACUUCACUAUGAUUGCAAUCGAGCUUUAUAAGCUCAUUAAACAAACAGUAAUGUUUGUAAAGGUGUUAUACAGCCAUGUCCCUCACCCUUUCGCAGUGGGAAAGCUUCGGUGCUGUGGUUCUUUGUCAUGUUUGCAGCCUCCAAUUUAGUCAGGCAAAGCAGGGACCAAAGAUGAGCUUGCUGGGGAAGAUGCCACUGGAAUGUCAUGGCUGUAACAGCAGAAGUGAGGUCCCUCAGCCCAUCGUCAAUGAGUGUGAACAUCACUUGUGCACCUCUUCUUCAAUGGACUUGAGGUCUUGCUGCAAGGUGAAGCAUACCAGAUCUCCUAUCUAAUGUUCCAUGCAUUAGAAAGCAUUUCUAGGUCAUUUUUAUUACUAAGCAAAUGUUUAUUUUGUUUUUCGUUUUUGGUUUUUUGGGGGUUUUUUUUUUCCAACUGAAGCUCUUACAGAAAGUUUGUGGCUUCAUUACUGAGACAUUUUAAGCUUCAAGACUAUCGUGUAUGAUUUCCUAGAUUUGUAGCAAUGAAAAAAAGCCUUUAAAAGGUACCUUUUUAUGAAAAAAAUAUGAUAGGGCAAACAUAUAAAUACCUAUGUUUUAGUCACAACAUAUUCAUUAUUUUGAAUGUAAUACUUCAAUGUUAAGCAGUGCAUUCCUCUUUCUAAAAUAACAAAACUACCUUUUCAUUUGUAAAUAUACUCUAGGAAGUCUCCCUGUAUUAUCUCGCUGUAUAAUGUACUGUACCGCUAAAUUAUCAUAUGCUAUUUAAAUGGUUGAAAUAUUUAGAAGGUUGCAUGCAGAUUUCAUAUUUCUUUCUAAGACAAAUGAAAAAAAGAAAUAAAAAAUGUAUUUAAAACCA
ensembl:lncRNA